CUAAGGCUCCGGAGGAAGCCACGGCUAACUCUGUGCCAGCAGCCGCGGUAAUACAGAGGCGGCAAGCGUUGUUCGGAAUUAUUGGGCGUAGAGAGCACGUAGGCGGCUUUGUAAGUCGGUUGUGAAAGCCUUCCGCUUAACGGGAGAACGGCAGCCGAUACUGCAUAGCUUGAGUGCGGGAGGGGAGAGUGGAACUUCUGGUGGAGCGGUGAAAUGCGUAGAUAUCAGAAGGAACGCCGGCGGCGAAAGCGACUCUCUGGCCCGAAACUGACGCUGAGUGUGCGAGAGCUAGGGGAGCAAACGGGAUUAGAUACCCCGGUAGUCCUAGCCGUAAA
rnacentral:rRNA from 1 species